rnacentral:rRNA from 1 species
UAAAGCUGAUUUACUGGAAAGCCUUGAUUCAGUUAAUAGGAAGUUUAUAAGAUGCUCCUCGAUAUGAACUUCCCACAGCAAUGGGUUAAUUGGAUUCAAUCUUGCCUGAAACUCCAAAGUUUUCGAUACUCUUUAAUGGCUCACCAAUUGGUUUUUUUUUUGGGAGCACGAAUGGCAUCCGACAAGGUGAUCCACAAUCUCCUUAUCUUUUUUACUAUUAAGAUGGAAGGACUUAGCUGUAUGUUGGAACACGCAUCUCUUAAAUGGCAGCAUUAAGGUACCCAUUGCUGGUUCUGUUUUUUUUUUUUGGUAAGUAAAAGUAAAUUGAUUAUAUGUAAAGUUUCUACAAAUAGCUUUAUCUAUACAUGUCAUUGACAAAGCCAUGUAACUCAUAGAGUGCGAAAUGCGAUAGUUAUGACUACACAUGUUGUAGACUAUAACUCAUAAUUAUAAUCAAAAUAGAAAAUGUUUAUCCAGAUAUAUCAAAAUUUGGCAUCAUUCCCAAGAUCUUUAACUAAUAGCAAAAUUAAAAUUGAUAAAAAUAUAUUUUUCUCUUUGGGUAAAGUGCUCCGUUUUGAGAUCUUGCUCCAUACAGGAUCUUGAGUCUCUAAUAAUCUCUUUCAAUAGCUGAGCAUUGUUUGUGUGUUGACAUUCAAAGAUUCUGUUACAUCUCUCCUUCCACAUCCACCAAAUAACGCAUCUGAAAUUUCCCAGAUUGAUUCUUUUGAAAGAUACCUAGCAGAAACCCAAUGUGACCAUAAGGAACAUUUGUUUUGCAAAAGAUCCCACAAUUGCUGCACCAGACAUGCUUGAUUCCAAUCUCUAGUAUUUCUCAAGUUUAGCCCCCCUUCAUCUUUCGGUUUGCAAAUGCUAUCCCAAUUUACCAUAUGCAUUGCCUUAUCAUUUGUGCCAUUCCGAAGAAGUUCAUUAAUAACCGUUCAAUAUCUUGGAGAAGUCCAGCAGGUAAAAGAAAUGCAUUACACCAAUAUAUAGAGUAGGAGUGCAAUACCGAACGGAUGAGUUCGAGUCGCCCUGCUUUUGAUAGAAACCUAUUUUUCCAAGAAGAAAUUCUAUUCUUUAUUUUUUUUUGCAAGAAAGGCUGACAGUGGGUUUUGUGAAUGCCUGUGGAUAUGAGUGGGGAGACCCAAAUAAGGAACUGGCAAGCUUCCCUCACUAACACCCAAAGUUUGUGUAAUAAAGACAUUAUCCUCAACGUAAGGGCUCAUAUAUACUUUACUUUUCAUAUGAUUUAACUGAAGUCCAAAACCAUACCAAAGUCAUUCAUAAUAGUAGCCGGGUUCUUUACGGAAGUUGGUUCAUUUUGGAGAAAGAUAAGUAAGUCAUCUGCAAAUGUUAUAUGUGAUAUAAGGGGCCGGGAAGCCCGCCUGAGAGCGUCAUCUCCGCGAACUCGAAAGGGAAUCGGGUUAAAAUUCCCGAGCCGGGAGGAGGCGGGGACGGCAACGUUAGGAAGUCCGGAGACGUCGGUGGGGCUCGGGAAGAGUUAUCUUUUUCUGCUUAACGGCCCGCCCACCCUGAAACGGCUCAGCCGGAGGUAGGGUCCAACGGUCGGAAGAGCGCCGCGUCGCCGUCAAGGCGUCCGUCCGCUCCGGCGUUCCUUGAAAAUCCGGGAGGACCGAAAAGCCGCCCGCUCCCUGGUCGUACUCAUAACCGCAUCAGGUCUCCAAGGUGAACAACCUCUGGCCCAUGGAACAAUGUAGGCAAGGGAAGUCAGCAAAACGGAUCCGUAACCGGAAAAAGGAUUGGCUCUGAGGGGCUGGGCACGGGGUCCCGCCCCCCAACCCGUCGGCUGUCUGCGGACUGCUCGAGCUGCUCUCGCGGCGAGAGCUGGUCGCCGCCGCUGCCGCCGGGAACGAACCGAAUGGCCCCUCGGGGCCUUCCCAAGCGUCGAACAGCCAACUCAGAACUGGUACGGACAAGGGGAAUCCGACUGUUUAAUUAAAACAAAGCAUUGCGAUGGUCCCCGCGGAUGCUCACGCGCAAUGUGAUUUCUGCCCAGUGCUCUGAAUGUCAAAGUGAAGAAAUUCAACCAAAAAGCGGGUAAACGGCGGAGUAACUAUGACUCUCUUAAAGGUAGCCAAAUGCCUCGUCAUCUAAUUAGUGACGCGCAUGAAUGGAUUAACGAGAUUCCCACUAUCCCCUGUCUACUAUCCAGCGAAACCACAGCCAAGGAACGGGCUUGGCAGAAUCAGCGGGGAAAGAAGACCCUGUUGAGCUUGACUCUAGUCCGACUUUGUGAAAUGACUUCGAGAGGUGUAGGAUAAGUGGGAGCCGGUUCACCGGCGGAAGUGAAAUACCACUACUUUUAACGUUAAUUUACUUAUUCCGUGAUUCGAGGCGGGCCCGCCCCUCCUUUUUUGACCCAAGGCCCGCCCUAGCGGGCCGAUCCGGCGGAAGACAUUGUCAGGUGGGGGAGUUUGGCUGGGGCGGCACCUCUGUUAAAAGAUAACACAGGUGUCCUAAGAUGAGCUCAACGAGAACAGAAAUCUCGUGUGGAACAAAAGGGUAAAAGCUCGUUUGAUUCUGAUUUCCAGUACGAAUCUGAACCGUGAAAAGCGUGGCCCUAUCGAUCCUUUAGACCUUCGAAUUUGAAGCUAGAGGUGUCAGAAAUGUUACCACAGGGAUAACUGGCUUGUGGCAGCCAAGCGUUCAUAGCGACGUUGCUUUUUUGAUCCUUCGAUGUCGGCUCUUCCUAUCAUUGUGAAGCAGAAUUCACCAAGUGUUGGAUUGUUCACCCACCAAUAAGGAACGUGAGCCGGGUUUAGACCGUCGUGAGACAGGUUAGUUUUACCCUACUAAUGAUCGUGUCGCGAUAGUAAUUCAACCUAGUACGAGAGGAACCGUUGAUUCACACAAUUGGUCAUCGCGCUUGGUGGAAAAGCCAGUGGCGCGAAGCUACCGUGUGUCGGAUUAUGACUGAACGCCUCUAAGUCAGAAUCCUAGCUAGCAACCGGCGCUCUCGCCCGUCGUUCGCCAUGGGCUCAUGUCGCUGGUAUAGCCCUCGUGGUGGUAUAGCCACGGGCGGCCAUCGGGAAGUGAAAUUCUGCACGGACGACGGGCCGAAUCCUUUGCA